AAAAAAAACUUUAAUGGAAAGCUUCUUAUAAUAAAGUUUAGUUGAGAAGCUCUCGAUUCGCUGUCACGUAUCAAUUUUAUCGUUUAUCCAAUUAAAACUUUUUUUAUACUGAUAUUAGAAAAAACACUCAACGAUUCUUUGAAUGGAGACAAAACUGACAUGCCGGCAGCAGAUUGUAGGCUCCCCCGAUGAGACGUUGUUGGAGAGCUCUCCACUAAAGUUUUAUGGGUUAAAAAAAUUAUUGAAAAUAUCUUACUUUAAAAAGCAAAUGCUUUAAGUA
rnacentral:lncRNA from 1 species